AUUGAACGCUGGCGGCAUGCCUUACACAUGCAAGUCGAACGGCAGCACGGGAGCAAUCCUGGUGGCGAGUGGCGAACGGGUGAGUAAUAUAUCGGAACGUGCCCGGUCGUGGGGAUAACGUAGCGAAAGCUACGCUAAUACCGCAUACGAUCUACGGAUGAAAGCGGGGGAUCGCAAGACCUCGCGCGAUUGGAGCGGCCGAUAUCAGAUUAGGUAGUUGGCGAGGUAAAGGCUCACCAAGCCGACGAUCUGUAGCUGGUCUGAGAGGACGACCAGCCACACUGGGACUGAGACACGGCCCAGACUCCUACGGGAGGCAGCAGUGGGGAAUUUUGGGACAAUGGGCGCAAGCCUGAUCCAGCAAUGCCGCGUGCAGGAUGAAGGCCCUCGGGUUGUAAACUGCUUUUGUACGGAACGAAAAGGUUUCUAUUAAUACUAGGAGCUCAUGACGGUACCGUAAGAAUAAGC
rnacentral:rRNA from 1 species